AUGAGGGCUCACAUGAGAAGGCCUUCAUGGUUGGAGAAAGACUGUCCGGAGUUUGGAUCUCCAGUGUAUCAGGAAACAAUCCCAUUUAGCAAAAUACUCCAUGAAGUUCAUCUUCAAGUUGUUCCUUGGGGCAUUGGGACCGCACUUGGAGAGCUUCCUCCAUAUUUUGUUUCUAGAGCAGGUUAUGUUUAUAAUGUUUUGCUCUUGCCAACUCGAACAUAA
rnacentral:rRNA from 1 species